AGUGAACGCUGGCGGUAGGCCUAACACAUGCAAGUCGAACGGCAGCACAGGAGAGCUUGCUCUCUGGGUGGCGAGUGGCGGACGGGUGAGGAAUACAUCGGAAUCUACUCUGUCGUGGGGGAUAACGUAGGGAAACUUACGCUAAUACCGCAUACGACCUACGGGUGAAAGCAGGGGACCUUCGGGCCUUGCGCGAUUGAAUGAGCCGAUGUCGGAUUAGCUAGUUGGCGGGGUAAAGGCCCACCAAGGCGACGAUCCGUAGCUGGUCUGAGAGGAUGAUCCGCCACACUGGAACUGAGGCACGGUCCAGACUCCUACGGGAGGCAGCAGUGGGGAAUAUUGGACAAUGGGCGCAAGCCUGAUCCAGCCAUACCGCGUGGGUGAAGAAGGCCUUCGGGUUGUAAAGCCCUUUUGUUGGGAAAGAAAUCCAGCUGGCUAAUACCCGGUUGGGAUGACGGUACCCAAAGAAUAAGCACCGGCUAACUUCGUGCCAGCCGCCGCGGUAA
rnacentral:rRNA from 1 species